AUGGGGGGCUCCCAUGGAGCCUGCAUUCUAGGGAGGAAAGCUGACAACACAUCAACUAGAAACUAUCAGUAACAUUAUGCAGAGAACUGAGAUGGGGAGCUACGUUUGCAUGAGUAGUCAGGAAAAAGAUCUUUGUUUUUGAAGGGUGAUGUCUGAACAGAGACCCCAGUGUUGCAUGGAAGCAGGUCAUGUGAAGACCAGGGAGAACAGCGCCCCAGAGAUGGAGUUCUGCUCGUCGCCCAGGCUGGAGUGCAGGGGCACAGUCUUGGCUCACCACAACCUCUGCCUCCUGGUUCAAGCAAUUCUCCCACCUCAGCCUCCCGAGUAGCUGGGAUUACAGCCACACAAAACAUGCCUGCUUCCCCUUCACCUUCCGCUGUGAUUGUGAGUUUCCUGAGGCCUCCCCAGCCGUACUUCCUGGACAGCCUGCAGAACCGUGAGCCAAUUAAACCUCUUUUCUUUAUAAAUUAUCCAGCCUCAGGUAUUUCUUUAUAGCAGUGAGAGAACAGACUCAUACAACUGGGCAUGUCUUCUAAGCAAGGUACUAUUCUAAUCACCAGACAAUAGUGUGCUAGUAACUAUUUCACAGCGGGCUCUAUGAGAGUAAUCCUGCCAUGAUUACUCACCAUGAUUACGGUGGCUAAUAUUUUCAUUUAUGUUAACAAGUAAGAUAAAGGUAAAACAACAAAAGUGCACGC